rnacentral:rRNA from 1 species
GGCUGAGGAUGGGCUCGCGGCCUAUCAGCUUGUUGGUGGGGUGAUGGCCUACCAAGGCGACGACGGGUAGCCGGCCUGAGAGGGUGACCGGCCACACUGGGACUGAGACACGGCCCAGACUCCUACGGGAGGCAGCAGUGGGGAAUAUUGCGCAAUGGGCGAAAGCCUGAUGCAGCGACGCCGCGUGAGGGAUGACGGCCUUCGGGUUGUAAACCUCUUUCAGUAGGGACGAAGCGAAAGUGACGGUACCUGCAGAAGAAGCACCGGCCAACUACGUGCCAGCAGCCGCGGUAAUACGUAGGGUGCAAGCGUUGUCCGGAAUUAUUGGGCGUAAAGAGCUCGUAGGCGGUGUGUCGCGUCUGCUGUGAAAACCUCAGGCUCAACCUGGGGCCUGCAGUCGAUACGGGCAAACUAGAGUGCUGCAGGGGAGACUGGAAUUCCUGGUGUAGCGGUGAAAUGCGCAGAUAUCAGGAGGAACACCGAUGGCGAAGGCGGGUCUCUGGGCCGUAACUGACGCUGAGGAGCGAAAGCGUGGGGAGCGAACAGGAUUAGAUACCCUGGUAGUCCAUGCCGUAAACGUUGGGCACUAGGUGUGGGGUCCAUUCCACGGACUCCGUGCCGCAGCAAACGCAUUAAGUGCCCCGCCUGGGGAGUACGGCCGCAAGGCUAAAACUCAAAGAAAUUGACGGGGGCCCGCACAAGCGGCGGAGCAUGUUGAUUAAUUCGAUGCAACGCGAAGAACCUUACCUAGGCUUGACAUGCACGGAAAUC